rnacentral:rRNA from 1 species
AACGAACGCUGGCGGCAUGCCUAACACAUGCAAGUCGAACGGGUACCUCCGGGUGCUAGUGGCGCACGGGUGCGUAACGCGUGGGAAUCUGCCCUUGGGUUCGGAAUAACUCAGCGAAAGCUGUGCUAAUACCGGAUGAUGUCGAAAGACCAAAGAUUUAUCGCCCGAGGAUGAGCCCGCGUUGGAUUAGCUAGUUGGUGGGGUAAAGGCCUACCAAGGCGACGAUCCAUAGCUGGUCUGAGAGGAUGAUCAGCCACACUGGGACUGAGACACGGCCCAGACUCCUACGGGAGGCAGCAGUGGGGAAUAUUGGACAAUGGGCGAAAGCCUGAUCCAGCAAUGCCGCGUGAGUGAUGAAGGCCUUAGGGUUGUAAAGCUCUUUUACCCGGGAUGAUAAUGACAGUACCGGGAGAAUAAGCUCCGGCUAACUCCGUG